rnacentral:rRNA from 1 species
UGGAUGACUUGUGGCUAGCGGUGAAAUUCCAAUCGAACUCGGAUAUAGCUGGUUCUCUCCGAAAUAGCUUUAGGGCUAGCCUCGAUGUUAAGUCUACUGGAGGUAGAGCACUGAAUGGGUGAUGGCCCCACCUCGGGGUACUGAUCUCAAUCAAACUCCGAAUGCCAGAUAGAUAUAAUCGGGAGUCAGACUGUGGGUGAUAAGGUCCAUGGUCAAAAGGGAAAGAGCCCAGACCGCCAGCUAAGGCCCCCAAGUGUCCGUUAAGUGGAAAAGGAUGUGGAGAUGCACAGACAACUAGGAGGUUGGCUUAGAAGCAGCCAUCCUUUAAAGAGUGCGUAAUAGCUCACUAGUCGAGUGACUCUGCGCCGAAAAUGUACCGGGGCUAAACGGACCGCCGAAGCUGCGGAUUGACUUUAGAGUCAGUGGUAGGAGAGCGUUCUAACAGCGGUGAAGCAGUACCGGAAGGAGCUGUGGAGCGGUUAGAAGUGAGAAUGCCGGUGUGAGUAGCGAAAGAUAGGUGAGAAUCCUAUCCAUCGAAAGCCUAAGGUUUCCAGGGGAAGGCUCGUCCGCCCUGGGUAAGUCGGGACCUAAGGUGAGGCCGAAAGGCGUAGCCGAUGGACAACAGGUUGAUAUUCCUGUACCACUUAUUAAACUGAUGGAGUGACGGAGAAGGCUAAGUUGAGCGUGUGAUUGGAUUCACGUGUAAGCAGUGAGGUGGUCAUGUAGGCAAAUCCGCAUGGCAUAACAUUGAGCUGUGAUGCCGAAGCCGACUGGCGAAGUCAACUGACGUCACGCUUCCAAGAAAAGCUUCUAGGGUUAAUUUAAUAAGUGCCCGUACCGAUAACCGACACAGGUAGGCGAGGAGAGAAUCCUAAGAUGAGCGAGAGAACUCUUGUUAAGGAACUCGGCAAAAUGACCCCGUAACUUCGGGAGAAGGGGUGCUUGUGAAAGCAAGCCGCAGUGAAUAGGCCCAGGCGACUGUUUAUCAAAAACACAGGUCUCUGCUAAACCGCAAGGUGAUGUAUAGGGGCUGACGCCUGCCCGGUGCUGGAAGGUUAAGAGGAGAGGUUAGCGCAAGCGAAGCUUUGAAUUGAAGCCCCAGUAAACGGCGGCCGUAACUAUAACGGUCCUAAGGUAGCGAAAUUCCUUGUCGGG